UACGGAGGGGGCUAGCGUUGUUCGGAAUUACUGGGCGUAAAGCGCACGUAGGCGGCUUUGUAAGUUAGAGGUGAAAGCCCGGGGCUCAACUCCGGAAUUGCCUUUAAGACUGCAUCGCUAGAAUUGUGGAGAGGUAAGUGGAAUUCCGAGUGUAGAGGUGAAAUUCGUAGAUAUUGGGAAGAACACCGGUGGCGAAGGCGGCUCACUGGCCCGUAACUGACGCUCAUGCACGACAGCGUGGGGAUCAAACAGG
rnacentral:rRNA from 1 species